rnacentral:rRNA from 1 species
GUGGGGAAUAUUGGGCAAUGGGCGCAAGCCUGACCCAGCGACGCCGCGUGAGUGAAGAAGUAUUUCGGUAUGUAAAGCUCUAUCAGCAGGGAAGACAAUGACGGUACCUGACUAAGAAGCACCGGCUAAAUACGUGCCAGCAGCCGCGGUAAUACGUAUGGUGCAAGCGUUAUCCGGAUUUACUGGGUGUAAAGGGAGCGUAGGUGGUAUGGCAAGCCAGAAGUGAAAACCCGGGGCUCAACCCCGCGGAUUGCUUUUGGAACUGUUGAACUAGAGUGCUGGAGGGGUAAGCGGAAUUCCCAGUGUAGCGGUGAAAUGCGUAGAUAUUGGGAGGAACACCGGAGGCGAAGGCGGCUUACUGGACAGUAACUGACACUGAGGCUCGAAAGCGUGGGGAGCAAACAGG